AAUGCACGUGGCAAACAGCGUAUGUACGUUCCUUUGCUAACUUUUCUUAGGUGUAGACGCCGUUUGAAGCGCCUGACUGAUUAAAUACAAUGAUACUGUAAUGAAAGAAUUUGAUCGCUGAUAUACCAUUGCUAUUUAGUUUCGAAAUAAACACUUCUUACAGGGAAUUACCAGAAAGCAACACGGACGUGGAACCCUCAGAGUUUCUUUUAUUCGGACUUAUAAAGAAGCUAUUCGGAAGUCAAAGAUUUAAAUUUGAAGAUGACUUCAACAGGCCAUGUG